UACGAAGGGUGCAAGCGUUACUCGGAAUUACUGGGCGUAAAGCGUGCGUAGGUGGUUUGUUAAGUCUGAUGUGAAAGCCCUGGGCUCAACCUGGGAACUGCAUUGGAUACUGGCUUACUAGAGUGCGGUAGAGGGUAGCGGAAUUCCCGGUGUAGCAGUGAAAUGCGUAGAUAUCGGGAGGAACAUCCGUGGCGAAGGCGGCUACCUGGACCAGCACUGACACUGAGGCACGAAAGCGUGGGGAGCAAACAGG
rnacentral:rRNA from 1 species